GGCCGCUAUCCUGUCACUCAGCCCAUUCGCCAAAACGCCGCUCAGAUGGAAAGGGGGCGGGGCUAUCCGGCGCUUUAAACGGUUCUGUUUGUAAAUGCCCACCUACUCCGGGUGGGGGAAAGCUUUGGGAGCUGGGGAUUGGCCGAGCAGCUAGGCAGCAAGAGCUUGUUUAUGGUAUGGAGGGAGCUGAUUGGCUGUCUGCCGAGUCAUUUAUGCCGAUCAGCCGCUGUAUGUUGCUCUCGCUGAAAUUCAGUGCAUUGUAUCUCCACCAGGUGCUGUGGGAACAUCGUAGUAGAAGAUCAGAGGGGAUGAAGAAAUUGCUAGACAAAUCACUGGGACAGUGAAGGAUGCAGUAAUCUACAAAAACAUGAAACAAUUCAGUUCCUGACCAUGGAUGAAAUAACCAUAAUCCAAGACUGAUGGUUUUUCGGAAUACAUAUGUUUUACUGGCAGCCACCAGUAUGCCGGCUGCUAGAAAGCCCCUAGCAGGCUUGCUGCGCUCGCCACAGGUUAUAUUCUCCCUCUAUGGGUGCCGUGCAGGGGAGGUCACCUUACAAUCCCUACUGCCAGGUUCUACUCAUCAUAGCUUCUAUGUGGAGUACAGUUCCUCCAUUCCAAGGGCAUAAUCCAUCGUGACCUCAAGCCUGAGAACAUCCUGGUGGUUGGAACGGGUUUUAUUAAGAUAGCCAACUUUGGUCUUGCACUAGAGAAAAUCCAGAGGGCAACUGGCUUCAUUGGAACACGUGGUUACAUUGCUCCUGAGGUGCGUGCUGGCAGGGAGUACAGUGCCAGUGCUGACUGGUUUUCAUUUGGUGUCAUAAUGACCCAAAUGAUCACCGGAAGUCUUGUUUACCAUCCUACAAGACUUGGAGUCAAUGGUAACAUACAACUCCAUCAUUUCUUCCAGCCGGUCGACUGGGUCGCAGUGGAAGCCCUUGAGACUGUGCCCCCAUACAGAUGCGGACCACCAUCCUUACCACACUCUGACUUCAUUCUAAGCCACCUAGAGAGAAUGGAGGCAGCAGAGGCCCGUAAGCAACCAAUAACAGCUAAGGAGCAAGGACGAUUUAGAGGGUUCUCAUUUUUUCAGCUCAGCCUGGAGAACCCUCCCCAAGACACCCAACCUAUAAGAACACCAGCUGAGGCCACAGCAAUGCUGGUUACUCGAAUAGAAGACUCUGUAUCAAAUGGGAGAUGUGAAUGAAGAUGAUGUGCCCAGCAAAAAAUAUGCAUUAACUUACUAUAAAUAUAAAAUAAGAAAGAGUAGCUCAGAAAACUACUUUCAAUGUUUAUUUUGAAGGUUACUUUGAAUGUUUUUGUUUUGUUAGGUUGGGGUUAGUUUAGAUGGUCA